AUUGGUAUUGUUUAAAGAUCCCCCAGGUGAUUUUAAUGUGCAACUGGGUUUGCAGGCCCCACUGAGAAAAAAGUGACAAUCAGAGAGGGAAGAACCACAGAAGUCGGAGUCCUAGAAGGUGAAAUAUAUGGGCACUGGGGGAAGAGGGAAGUAUGAAUGUCCGACGCCAUAGAGAGAUCUAGAAGACUGGAGGACAAUGAUGAGGGCUUUGGGUUUGUUCACGGAAAGAGGCCUUGGAGUCUAGAGCCAGCAGCUUGGAACUAGAGCAGGGCAAAUGAUCCUGGGAUGGACAUUUCUAUGCAUACACCUUUUUACCCUACAAGUGUCCUUUUACUACCUGAGAAAAUUGUGGCUGCUUGUUCCUGGCAGUGUGGCAGUGGAGCUGUGAUAGUCAAUCCAAGGGUAUUGUCUUCUGGUGAAGCACAGCACAUCUCUGCCCCUGGGGCAGUCUGCACAGCUGUGUCCGAGCUUUUACCAUCAUCUGUGUGCCAAAGACGUCUGAUGUUAUCUGAUUCUUUUGGGUGAAGAUGAGGGCCUUCUCCUAGCUCUCCAAGGCCAGUGGAGCACACAGUGAGAAUGUGGUCAUCUGCAAGCCAGGAAGAGAGCUCUUACCAGAACCUGACCAUGGUGGUGCCCUGAUCCUGAACUUCCAGACUUCAAGAUUAAAAUUACCUUCCGGAGCCGACCCCGUGGCCAAGUGGUUAAGUUCUUCUGCUCUGCUGCAGGAGGCCCAGUGUUCCAUCGGUUCGAAUCCUCGGCGCAGACAUGGCACCACUCAUCGAGCCAUGCUGAGGUGGCAUCCCACAUGCCACAACUAGAAGGACCCACAACUAAGAAUAUACAACUAU
rnacentral:lncRNA from 1 species